UACGUAGGGUGCAAGCGUUGUCCGGAAUUAUUGGGCGUAAAGAGCUCGUAGGCGGUCUGUCGCGUCGGCUGUGAAAACCUGGGGCUUAACUCCGGGCCUGCAGCCGAUACGGGCAGACUAGAGUUCGGCAGGGGAGACUGGAAUUCCUGGUGUAGCGGUGAAAUGCGCAGAUAUCAGGAAGAACACCUAUGGCGAAGGCAGCUCUCUGGGACGGUACUGACGCUGAGACGCGAAAGCGUGGGGAGCGAACAGG
rnacentral:rRNA from 1 species